UCUCAAAUGAGCUACAUCAUUUCUUAUGCAUCCUACAGAGAUAAUCACCAAAGAGUGAAUUUUGGCUGAUAGACACUGAUGCCUGGAAGACCAAUCAAAAUGAAGAGCCAGAGUCAAGAUCCUGAUUCCCUUCCUGCCAUCACGUCCAAAGUAGCCUUUUUCAUGCAUCCAGCCUAGCUUGUUGCAUAGAAGAGAAAAAAUAAGAGUUCACCAGCCCUCUGAGAACUGUAUUUAACUCAGCCUCAGCCAUCAUAAAAGAGCUCAGAUGUUGUGGUGGAAAGAGUACCAGAUUCAGAAUCAUCCUUAACAGAAAUCGAUACCUGGGUCACUAUAAAGGAGACUUGCUUUCAACACUGGUCAUCUCACCAGGGAGG